rnacentral:rRNA from 1 species
AUUGAACGCUGGCGGCAUGCCUAACACAUGCAAGUCGAACGAGUGGCGGACGGGUGAGUAAUGUCUGGACAACUGCCUGAUGGAGGGGGCUAACUACUGGAAACGGUAGCUAAUACCGCAUACCAUCGGAUGUGCCCAGAUGGGAUUAGCUAGUAGGUGGGGUAAAGGCUCACCUAGGCGACGAUCCCUAGCUGGGCUGAGAGGAUGACAAGCCACACUGGGACUGAGACACGGUCCAGACUCCUACGGGAGGCAGCAGUGGGGAAUAUUGGGCAAUGGGCGAAAGUCUGAUGGAGCAAUGCCGCGUGAAUGAAGAAGGCUUUCGGGUUGUAAAGUACUGUCGGCAGGGAGGCGGUAUCCGAAGAGGAAGCAACGGCUAACUCCGUGCCAGCAGCCGCGGUAAUUC